UACAGAGGGUGCGAGCGUUAAUCGGAAUUACUGGGCGUAAAGCGCACGUAGGCGGCUUGGUAUGUCGGGUGUGAAAUCCCCGGGCUCAACCUGGGAACUGCAUCCGAAACUGCCUUGCUAGAGUAUGGGAGAGGGAAGUGGAAUUUCCGGUGUAGCGGUGAAAUGCGUAGAUAUCAGGAAGAACACCAAUGGCGAAAGCAGCUCUCUGGGACGGUACUGACGCUGAGACGCGAAAGCGUGGGGAGCGAACAGG
rnacentral:rRNA from 1 species